GAUGAAGAACGUAGCGAAAUGCGAUAAGUAAUGUGAAUUGCAGAAUUCAGUGAAUCAUCGAAUCUUUGAACGCACCUUGCACCCUUUGGCAUUCCGAAGGGUAUGCUCGUUUGAGUGUCAUUGUACUCUCACACUUCCGAUCUUUCGAUUGGGAGCGGUGGACUUGGGUGUUGCUGCUUUACUGUGGCUCACCUCAAAUGGAGUAGUGCAACUCUUGGUUGGACAUAGUACGGCGUGAUAAGUGUCUUCGCCGGCACCUCAUAGAGGGUGGCUGAUCAGGAGCUCUGUGCUUUCCAACUGUCUUCAGACAACAACUGACAACUUGACCUCAAAUCGAGUAGGACCACCCGCUGAACUUAAGCAUAUCAAUAAGCGGAGGA
rnacentral:misc_RNA from 1 species